GACGAACGCUGGCGGCGUGCUUAACACAUGCGAGUCGAACGGAAAGGCCCUGCUUUUGUGGGGUGCUCGAGUGGCGAACGGGUGAGUAACACGUGAGUAACCUGCCCUUGACUUUGGGAUAACUUCAGGAAACUGGGGCUAAUACCGGAUAGGAGCUCCUGCUGCAUGGUGGGGGUUGGAAAGUUUCGGCGGUUGGGGAUGGACUCGCGGCUUAUCAGCUUGUUGGUGGGGUAGUGGCUUACCAAGGCUUUGACGGGUAGCCGGCCUGAGAGGGUGACCGGCCACAUUGGGACUGAGAUACGGCCCAGACUCCUACGGGAAGCAGCAGUGGGGAAUAUUGCACAAUGGGCGGAAGCCUGAUGCAGCAACGCCGCGUGCGGGAUGACGGCCUUCGGGUUGUAAACCGCUUUCGCCUGUGACGAAGCGUGAGUGACGGUAAUGGGUAAAGAAGCACCGGCUAACUACGU
rnacentral:rRNA from 1 species